UUUGAAAUUACAACUUUAAAGGGUAAGAUUGGAGAAGAUGAUGCUAAGAUGAUGUUCUUUACUCAUGGGAUCCUGUUGCAGCUAUGGCUAGGAGAAUUUAUUGAAUGAGAAAGCUUCAUUGUCUAACACUGUAAAUAAGCUUCAAAGAGAUGUUUUAAAGUUGGAGGUGUUUAGAAAGACCCUUAUGAAGUCACUUCAAGUUGAGGAGGAAGGUUCUCUUGUGUGUCUUAACUGACUUGGAGGUUGACCACAUGAAUCCUUUUGAAGCAACAGCUGCUGUUAACGUGUGGAUUCUGCCUGAGUUUGUUUUGCAAGGGUUAGCAAUGGUCGAUGGCAAUGGUAUGCUUCUUCCUCGAGGUGAGUAAAGUAAUGUUUGGCUUAAUAUUUUGGAUUUGUAGCUAUCUAUUUAUUUGGUUUGUUGUCAAAGAGAUUGGAAGAUGCAGGUCUGACAUUCACCUAGAUAACCAGAAAAGUCAGUGAAGUGAAGUCAACAGGAGUACAAUAGCUCGCCAUUCUGGACUUGCUCCUUUAGACUAUGAUACCUGGCGUAAGGU